GUGGGGAAUUUUCCGCAAUGGGCGAAAGCCUGACGGAGCAAUACCGCGUGAGGGAAGACGGCCUAUGGGUUGUAAACCUCUUUUUUCAGGGAGGAAUCAAUGACGUGUACCUGAAGAAUAAGCAUCGGCUAACUCCGUGCCAGCAGCCGCGGUAAGACGGAGGAUGCAAGUGUUAUCCGGAAUCACUGGGCGUAAAGCGUCUGUAGGUGGUUUAAUAAGUCAACUGUUAAAUCUUGGGGCUCAACCUCAAAAUCGCAGUCGAAACUAUUAGACUAGAGUAUAGUAGGGGUAAAGGGAAUUUCCAGUGGAGCGGUGAAAUGCGUAGAGAUUGGAAAGAACACCGAUGGCGAAGGCACUUUACUGGGCUAUAACUGACACUCAGAGACGAAAGCUAGGGUAGCAAAUGGGAUUAGAAACCCGUGUAGUCC
rnacentral:rRNA from 1 species